rnacentral:rRNA from 1 species
AUGGCACCGCCCCUGUGCUCCCGUCGAACCCCGGCGUCACCUCAUCCUGCCGCCGCCAGCAACCAGCAGGAGCACCAGCCGACGCCAACAUCAUCGGAGAUGGAGUCCCGCAGCUCAGAUCUGUGCCUCGAUCCGCUCGUUCCCGUCGAUUCCCACCGACCCCGUCGCACGGAUCCCCUGCCGUCGUCUCCUGCAUCGCACGGGGAGUGCUGGUGUUUUCUGUUCUUCAGAAGCGAGCGCCUGAUCGAUCCGGCUGCCCCCGUUGACCACAAGCGUGGUUGGGCCGCAACCGCAUGCCCUUGCUCUGCCGCGUGGGCCUCUACAGCGGCACCGGCCCAUGGGAGAGCUUCGGCCUACCUCCCCGCAUCUCCACAGCCGAGCCUCACCCGUUGGUCCAACGGGCCUCCUUUGUAG